UACGUAGGGGGCAAGCGUUGUCCGGAUUUAUUGGGCGUAAAGAGCGUGUAGGCGGCUCGGUAAGUCUGCUGUGAAAGUCCAGGGCUCAACCCUGGAAUGCCGGUGGAAACUGUCGAGCUAGAGUCCGGAAGAGGCGAGUGGAAUUCCUGGUGUAGCGGUGAAAUGCGCAGAUAUCAGGAGGAACACCAAUGGCGAAGGCAGCUCGCUGGGACGGUACUGACGCUGAGACGCGAAAGCGUGGGGAGCAAACAGG
rnacentral:rRNA from 1 species